UAUAUACUCCCUCCGUUCCAAAUUACUCGUCGCAGAAAUGGAUGUAUCUAGAACUAAAAUAUAUCUAGAUACAUCUAUACAUGUGACAAGUAAUUCGAAACGGAGGAAGUACAAU
rfam:Triticum urartu cultivar G1812 contig581791, whole genome shotgun sequence.